UUAUGGCUCAGGAUGAACGCUGGCGGCGUGCUUAACACAUGCAAGUCGAACGAAGCAUUCCAACUCUCGGAGGAAGAAAUGACUGAGUGGCGGACGGGUGAGUAACGCGUGGGUAACCUGCCUUAUACAGGGGGAUAACAGUUAGAAAUGACUGCUAAUACCGCAUAACCCGCUAGUACCGCAUGGUACAGACGGAAAAGAUUUAUCGGUAUAAGAUGGACCCGCGUCUGAUUAGCUAGUUGGUGAGGUAAUGGCUCACCAAGGCGACGAUCAGUAGCCGGCUUGAGGGAGUGAACGGCCACAUUGGGACUGAGACACGGCCCAAACUCCUACGGGAGGCAGCAGUGGGGAAUAUUGCACAAUGGGGGAAACCCUGAAUGCAGCAACGCCGCGUGUUAAGGAAGAAGUAUUUCGGUAUGUAAACUUCUAUCAGCAGGAAAGAAAAUGACGGUACCUGACUAAGAAGCCCCGGCUAACUACGUGCCAGCCGCCGC
rnacentral:rRNA from 1 species